GUGCUCACUUCGGCAGCACAUAUACCAAAACUGGGAGCACACAGAGAUUAGUACGGCCCCUGUGCAAGGAUGGCCUGCAAAUUUGUGAAGCACUCCAUUAUUUU
ensembl:snRNA U6 U6 spliceosomal RNA